UACGGAUGCCAUGGCGACGGAUGGCACGGACCGACCUGUGGAGAUGGAGGUGCUGGGCAUACGGAGGGAGUGAACGAUGGACAGGGCGAGGACCGGUGCCCAAAGUUGACACUCUGAGAGAAGCCCUCGUUGUCCGGGGGAUGUGCUCAUUUUAAUUGCACAUUUGUGGACUCGAGGGAGGGGUGGGGGAUGGGACAGCACAUCGCUUUCCUGCGAGGAGGGGGGGGAAUCUUGUUCUUGGAAUGGUAACUGAACAGCACCUACACGGCAGAGUCCUCGGAGAGUGUAGAAACCGAGAGGAAUCGAGGACAUUCUUAACUCUGAAAUCAAGCUUGUGACAAACCACUAUAUUACAUAAGUGUCUGCCAGUGUUCACACAGCUCUGCUUCUGUACCAAUGCUUUUGUUUUCAGUCGGGAGUAAGUUGUGUACACCUUGUUUUUUAACUAUACUAAUGUAAGCAUUCUUGGAGCCAAAUUUUAUUUCAAUGUAUUCUUUUUUUUUUUUUAUCUAACAGAAGCUUCUGGUAUGUUAGUAAUCGAGCUAUAUGACCCAUUCCAUUUCACCUUGUUUUCCAAAAGGCCUCCACUGUAGCUCUGUGUGUUGCACUUGGUGAAAGUGUAGGAAGCAUGUAGCACAGCCUGAACACUUCAACCAUAGCAUCGUUGUUCUCGCGCCCUUGUUAAGCAAAAGGGCACCAUUCAAUUGUGUAUUCUGUAAAGUGUGGUCAUUUGACCAUUUGAAUUGUUUCUCACUUCCCAAGAUCAGUACAAGCAUUUGUAUUUAAAUGUUUUUCCUGUGCUGAGACUUCUCGGUGGUCUGUGUUGGCUAGCGGGUAUGGCUGUACGCUUUAAAGGCAUGUCUGAAGAGAACCUUUGAGUGUAAUUGGGGUGCACAUUUCAAUAAGAAAGAUUAGUUGAAAUGUGAAAAAGACUGGAGGAGGGCAGACUAAUGUGUUCGCGUAACACAGACAUGGCUGGCAGGAAGAGUUGGGAGGGGGCGCUUGAGAGCCUCACAGUAGAGAGAGCAGAUCUGCGCAGUAGAAAGCAGGUCUGCGCAGUAGAGAGCAGGUCUGCGCAGUUGGGAGAGCAGGUCUGUGCAGUAGAGAGAGCAGGUCUGCAGGUCUGCGCAGUAGGGAGAGCAGGUCUGCGCAGUAGAGAGCAGGUCAGCGCAGUUGGGAGAGCAGGUCUGCAGGUCUGUGCAGUAGGGAGAGCAGGUCUGCGCAGUAGAGAGAGCAGGUCUGCACAGUCGGGAGAGCAGGUCUGCGCAGUAGAGAGCAGGUCUGCAGGUCUGCGCAGUAGAGAGAGCAGGUCUGCGCAGUAGAGAGCAGGUCUGCGCAGUAGAGAGCAGGUCUGCGCAAUCGGGAGAGCAGGUCUGCGCAGUCGGGAGAGCAGGUCUGCGCAGUCGAGAGAGCAGGUCUGCGCAGUAGGGAGAGCAGGUCUGCGCAUAGCCAGGAGUGCAGGGCACGCAAUGCCCCUCCAGGCAGGGAGCAGGUGGUGAUGGGAGGAGGAAGAGGGGGAAACAGAGGUCUCUGAAACAGCAGAGAGGCACGGGUGAGUGACAUUUUAAAGGCUAACGUUUACCCUUGCUGUCCGCAAAAGCAUAGGAUCAAACCCAUUAAUCUUCCUGGCACAUCUUCUGCCAAAGCAUCCAUUAAGAUUUUAACCUGCCCUGAAAAUGGCCGCCACCUGAGUAGCAUGACGCCUCUCUGUCUGGAGUGGAUCUUUAGAGUGAGUAUAAUUGAGUCAAAUGAGUUUUAAAAUGAAGUUACCCUGAUGUUGUAUGGCAUGUUUGUCCCUGGCCCUGUGCAUGUUUCCCUCUCUCACAGCAGACACGCGAAGCAGUGAUGUUCACAGCCUCGAAAGGAUUUGAUCCUGUGUUCUAGAAGAGCUCACUGGUCAUUCACACUGACACUGGCAGUAAAAUAGUCCCACCCAGGAAGAUCAGACUUCAAAAACUGUGUAAUCUUUCACCGUUUCAUAUAUUGUCAAAAACCAUUUCUCUGUCGGUAGCGCAGGAGGUGUGACUCAUUGGAAUGUGCGGUAUGAGUUGACGUAAAGAGAGCAGCGUGACGGUUAAUUUUAAACAAACACUGGACUUGUAGCAUUGUCGAUCACGCUCAGAUAAUGGCCGUAGGAAAAUCAUUAAGAGUCACUUUUCUCCUUUUGCCAGUUCUAAGCAUGCUGCAUUGAAUGGUUACAUGUUAGCGUUAAACCUAAACUUUCUUUUGAAUGCUAAAAUGCUGAUCUGAAACAUAAUUUAAGCUCUUCGUGUGGCAUUUUCCCGCAGAUUAGUUCCACCCUCGGCUUGGUAUGGUGUUGCUACUUCCCUCUAAAACACUGUUGAUAGCGGCAUUGGCGACCUUCACUGCACGGGGGGCUACCGGAUUCCCUCAGGAGACAAGGUCCAAGUUUAACACUCGGAUUUUUAUUAAUUACUUUCAACAAGAAACCAAAAGUAAAAUAAAUUCAAUUUAACCAUGGUAAUAAAUAGGCGACAAAAACAGUCUUAACUAAAGUAGCAUCAGAAUUACAAAAACAUAACGUAAAUAUUAAAUAAUGAAAUUUAAAAAAUAUGUUACAAAGUUGUAGCCAAUCUAUGACAGUACAAACUGAUUACAAAAUAAGACUACAAUAUGGAAAUAUAGACCUGAAAUAUAGAAGACCUAACUGCAACAUCGCCAACUUUUUUAACACUGUUAUUGAUCAGUGAUAAGUGACACAUAGGCUAUAUAAUGUGCUUUUAUACAUUUAAUAAUGUCAAUGUAGAAGCUCUACAAAUGCACUUUUAUUUAUUUUCUACUUUUAUUUUGAAAUUGUAAGUAUAAAGUACCGGUAUUGAUGGUGUGGAGAUUAUGACACCAGUGUUGUGUACCGUACGCCACCGGAUAGACCCAAAACUCCACCCCGUUGCACCCCCACCAAGCAUUUCAGCAUUCUAUAUUUUGUAUAUUUUUGUAUUCUUUUUCUUACCUGUAAUAUAUUUUUUUUCGCAUGUUUCAUGGUCAGUGCUAUGGGCGGUGGCACAAAUGGUAUGAUUUGAUUUUAGUUGCCAAUGAUAAGGAAGCGCAACUUCCACUAUAUUAUUUGCUGCAUACUUAAAUAUUAAGAUGAGUGUAUUAAGGGGCAGUGUGCCUCAGAUAUGUAAAUAAAAUGUUCACAAUAUUUUUACCUAAUGUUAUAAGAGAGCCCUCUUUUUUUUGUAAAUGUUCCCUGUGUUUAACUCUACUGUAACUGACAUCACAAGAAUAUUGUAAAUAUAUUGUUUUGUUUUAUUUUUGGUGCGGCUUCUUUAGACAGUUCCAGCUUUCGGUUUUACUGCUGCUUCAGUCUGUUGGUAAUCUUUUCUUUUCAAAGGAAAACACUGAGAGGAAAAGAGCAAAGGAAAGCAGAAAUUACGUUUGUCUGGGGCGACAGAUGAACUGGAGUGCGGAGGAACGAGACUGAGCCCUUCUCGGUCAGACGCGUUUACCAUUCACACUGAAGGAGGCAUGCGCUUUAGAGGAACACAAGCACAAACUCCAUGCCCCCUUCGAGCGCUGCACACGUGCACUUCUUUAACCGACCAGCUCUAUGCACUUUUUUAGAACCUUCAGUUGUCCCCUUAUGAAAGGUGCUACCCGGACAGCUAGAAUUGUCUUUAGUUAGAAGAAGCUUGCUCAGAUUUUGUAUAGCAGACAGGUACUUGCAGGGAAAAAAAAAAACAAUUUCCAUAUCAGUGUUUUGCUUUGAAAACAAGAGAAUACUAUGUACAGGUAUCUUCAGAAACGACUCUUAUUAUGCCACUAUGAUAGGCAGGGGCCACUGCAGUGUUGAGUUCUGUGGUUCUGUCUUCUCGCUGUCUGUGCAAACUUUCCGCUCCAAUGGACUGAGAUAUUUCUGAUUCGCUGGAUCUUACUCCGUCGUGAUCCUUGGGUCGUUAGUAUACAGAAACAGGUUAUGGGUCUCCUUUUGGAAAAGGACAUCCAAAGUCAGGAAGCGAAAAUGAGAAGCAAUGGGUAAGCGUUCAGUAUGUUCAAAUCAUUUCACAUUAUUUAUCGAUUUAAUUUCCUUUUAAUGCAAAAAAAUAUAUAUAAAAAAAUAAAUGAAUUCUCCCGUGCAGACGAACAAUCAUCAGAAAAACCGUGGAUUGAAUGUGUCGGUGGAAAAAGCCAAGUAAGAAUCUUGUUUUGUUUUCCAGGUAAUAAAAUGCCUCUCUCUUCACCGCCCAACAAGCAGUUCAUAAAAGACUCACAUCUAAAUUCUAGAGCCUCCACUUAAAAGGCUACUUUCUUGGCAGUGGAUGCAAUUAUUCCACAAUUUAAUCUUUAAACUGAGAAAGGUACAACAUAUUUAGAGGAUGAAAUAACAUGGCUUCUUCACAGGGUUUUCAGUCAAAUAUGAAAUAGAGUCACUCAUCUUAUCCCACCUACAUUUCUAUUACAUUAGUGCCAUGGGCGGAGAGAAGGCUAUAGCCUACAAUAUUGACAAAAACAAGCUGAAGACCGUGGAGAUAUUCGCUCUCUUUCUCACUGACCCCCCAACGUGGAAAAUUACUGGUUUCUAAAAAAAUAAAAUAAAAAGGUGUUUGUUUUAUAAUCUCUUCUAGAAACACUUUUGUAAGUAUGUUGAAAGUAAAGUAUUUGCUGGACUCUGCUUCAGUUAACCACGGUGACAAAACAAUAAUGUACAGAGAAAGUUGUUUGUGUUUAAGAAAAAUGUGGCUGUGCAAUUUAUGUACAUUUGCAACUAGAAUUAUUAAAGUUUUAUUUAGCUAUUUUAA